AAGGUAAGGCGCUGGCCUGGACCCUCUCUUCCCAGCCCACCAAGGGGAUCCCCACACCUAGGGAAAUGCUCUAAAUCAGCUCGAAACAGUGACCCAAGCCAAUGGCCCGCGAGAGACCGCCCCAUAUCUGGCCCAGCGUCCGGGAGGGCGAGGGCGCGCGGGGAGAGGGCGGGGGCGGGUUCCGCUAGACGCGGCGGGCUCCAGGCCGGGCUUCCCAGCUGGGGUGUCGAUCGGAGCAGGGAGGCUGGGACAGGUGUGAGCGGGCUCGGCGAAAAGGUGUCCGGCUUCGGGAAGCCAGCGAGCCAGACCUUGGGGCACCAGCCGGCAGGACGCGCUUCUUCGAGAGCUUGCGGCCCCCAAGGCAGCCGGGGAGAAGAUCUCGGGGAGUCCCGAAACCACCCACCCGCAGUAGUUGAGAGCGGCUCUGCAGUCCGACCAUUUCCCCUUGAAAAGAACACACGGCGUUUGGAGGCCGGUGGAGUUGCCCAAGACAAGAACCCCCAGCCCAAGUUCUCUGGCCUUGGCUGGCUAGUGGGUGCAUCAGCUCACACAGUGACUCACUUGAACUCAGCCUCCUCCGCUCCCGACCCUCAGCCACGUUCAAAUACUCUGUCCCAAGUGUUCUAGGACACGCGCCACUCAGAAGCAGGUCAAAGAUGGAAAAGGCCCAGCUUGUCUUUCCCAACCCUGGCGGUUCUACUUUGGCAUGGAAUCUGGGGCCUGAAGGUGGGCAAGGCCCCCCAGGCUUUCAGACUGGACUGUGCUGGGAGAAGGGGGCUCACCCAGCAGAUUGUGCUGUUAGGAAUUCUGGGAGCCGGUAGGGCUUUUUUUCUGGUCUCUAAUGGGCUCUUAGAACAUGGCAGCUUCCUUGGCUUAACGAAGUAAGAUGAACUUGCCCCAAGCUCUGGUUUAGCUCUCUCCUCUGCUGCUGUGCUGCAGGAUCCUUCUUGUUCUGUCUCUAGGCUUCAAGUUAUUUUUUGUCCCAGUCCUUCUGUGCUCUGCCUCUGCUGAGUGGCCUCCAGCCCCCCCCUGGGGUUUUACCUACAGGGGCUCUGGAUAGGAAGGACCCCGAGUUUUCUACCUGAGUGUGAGUGAAGAUGACUUUCCACCCUCCAGACAAAACUAGAGAGUUCUGUGCCCAAACUUUGUGUAUGGAAGGAGGUGAAGGCAGAGAAAGAGGAGGCCUUUUUGUUUCCAAAUGCACUAGUGAACAGAAGAAAUACCCUUUUCUCCAAAAUAGCUCAUGUUUUCAAGGAACUGUGAAAGUGGCAGGAUAAGGGACUGUCCUCUUCAAAUUCUUUGGGUCUGUGACCUAGAAGCCUUGAGAAGAGGCCAUAAGCAGGGAAACAAUGCAGAGGCAGGGUUUGGCAGAGGUGGCCCACUUGGGAGCAAGGCCUUGCCUUUCAUAGAUGGCCUUAGAUCAUGGUUAUAAAUGGUGUCACCGUUUUAUGAAUAAUCAGUUGCCAGUCCCUAAAUCAUGUUUUCAUGGUGCCAUGGGCUGCUGUGUCGCAAGGGUGAGAUCACCCUGAACGCUCCCAGAGGAAGAGAGUGUUAUGAGCCCUAAAACUUUCAGCUGCACUCUGCCAGCCCCUGUCUUCUUAAGCCCCACCUUUAGUCCCUUGUCUGCCUUCCUGUUCUCUCUACAGCAAAGCUGGGUCUUCUGGGGACUACGGUGGUAUUAGAACCCACACCAGUUCCCCAUCUCCCUGUCCCCAGACAGAGCUUUGACUGGGAAAAAAACAAAAACAAAAACAAAAACAAAAAGCAGAACAAGAAAACUGUUUGCUGUGUGUGGAUGGAUGAAGGCAAUAACCACUUUUCUCAAAAGCUGGAGCAGCUCCGUUCUCUGUCACCACGAACAAUCUUUCUUGGGUCAGAAGCCCCAGGACUCCAGCUGUGGGGUAAUUCCUAACCUGUUCUCCCUCAUAGAGACUCCUUUUACUAAGAAGUGAGGGUUUAGAGGAUUGGAGUACAGUCUCCAUCAGGAUUCCAUUUGAUCAUUAAAUUUACACAGAUCUGGGAACGGACGCCAGGCCUGAAAGGGAAAUGGAGAAGGGGAAUUCGUGAGAACCAAAGGAAGAACCGAGUGACUCUGUUUGACAAGGAAUUUCCAUUACCUCAGUGCUUUCCUCCAUAUGUCUCAUCCUUUAACUUCAUUUCCCCUCUUACGUGAAGAAACAGAACUCUCAGUUCAGGUGACUGUUUUGGCCAAAUGUUCAGAUACAUAAUCUGGCUGAGUGUUGUUAAAAAUCUGACCACUGAAUACAUAAUGCGCUCCUCUGCCUCACCUAAUUUUGACAUAAAAUAUAAGCAUUUAUUUCCAUCAAAUUCUUGUUCACCUUCAACAGGUUGGUUUUAGUUUCUGUAUUUCUCAAAUUUCCUUACAAUAACAGUACAUGAACCAGAUAUGUUCAGCUUCUAUGAGACAGGAUUAUUCCCACUACAAUUCUCCAGGUACUUCUGGUUAAAACUGCCUUUGCUUUUCACCUGAAUGAGACACAUACUUGAGAUGGAAGUGAGUUUCUUUGUUUUAAACUUGAAUUAUUUAAAUGCCUGCUCUUUUCCCUCCUCCUGCCUAUUUGGAAUAAACCUGGUCAGAUUAACA
rnacentral:lncRNA from 1 species